GACGAACGCUGGCGGCGUGCCUAAUACAUGCAAGUCGAGCGAAGUUUUUCUGGUGCUUGCACCGGAAAAACUUAGCGGCGAACGGGUGAGUAACACGUAAAGAACCUGCCUCAUAGACAGGGACAACUAUUGGAAACGAUAGCUAAUACCGGAUAACAGCAUUAACUGCAUGGUUGAUGUUUAAAAGUUGGUUUUGCUAACACUAUGAGAUGGCUUUGCGGUGCAUUAGCUAGUUGGUGGGAUAAAGGCCUACCAAGGCGACGAUGCAUAGCCGACCUGAGAGGGUGAUCGGCCACACUGGGACUGAGACACGGCCCAGACUCCUACGGGAGGCAGCAGUAGGGAAUCUUCCGCAAUGGGCGAAAGCCUGACGGAGCAACGCCGCGUGAGUGAAGAAGGAUUUCGGUUCGUAAAGCUCUGUUGUUAGGGAAGAAUGAUUGUGUAGUAACUAUACACAGUAGGGACGGUACCUAACCAGAAAGCCACGGCUAACUACGUGCCAGCAGCCGCGGUAAUACGUAGGUGGCAAGCGUUGUCCGGAAUUAUUGGGCGUAAAGCGCGCGCAGGUGGUUUAAUAAGUCUGAUGUGAAAGCCCACGGCUCAACCGUGGAGGGUCAUUGGAAACUGUUAAACUUGAGUGCAGGAGAGAAAAGUGGAAUUCCUAGUGUAGCGGUGAAAUGCGUAGAGAUUAGGAGGAACACCAGUGGCGAAGGCGGCUUUUUGGCCUGUAACUGACACUGAGGCGCGAAAGCGUGGGGAGCAAACAGG
rnacentral:rRNA from 1 species